CCUACGGGUGGCAGCAGUGAGGAAUAUUGGUCAAUGGACGAGAGUCUGAACCAGCCAAGUAGCGUGAAGGAUGACUGCCCUAUGGGUUGUAAACUUCUUUUAUAAAGGAAUAAAACGAGGCACGUGUGCCUUUUUGCAUGUACUUUAUGAAUAAGGAUCGGCUAACUCCGUGCCAGCAGCCGCGGUAAUACGGAGGAUCCGAGCGUUAUCCGGAUUUAUUGGGUUUAAAGGGAGCGUAGAUGGGUUGUUAAGUCAGUUGUGAAAGUUUGCGGCUCAACCGUAAAAUUGCAAUUGAUACUGGCAGUCGUGAGUACAGUUGAGGUAGGCGGAAUUCGUGGUGUAGCGGUGAAAUGCUUAGAUAUAACGAAGAACCCCGAUUGCGAAGGCAGCUUACUAAACUGUGACUGACAUUGAUGCUCGAAAGUGUGGGUAUCAAACAGGAUUAGAUACCCCAGUAGUC
rnacentral:rRNA from 1 species